UACGUAGGGGGCAAGCGUUAUCCGGAAUCAUUGGGCGUAAAGCGCGUGUAGGCGGUUCCGUAAGUCCGCUCUGAAAGCCCAGGGCUCAACCCUGGGAGGCGGGUGGAUACUACGGAACUGGAGUACGGAAGAGGAGAUUGGAAUUCCUGGUGUAGCGGUGAAAUGCGCAGAUAUCAGGAAGAACACCCGUGGCGAAGGCGGCUCUCUGGGACGGUACUGACGCUGAGACGGCGAAAGCGUGGGGAGCGAACAGG
rnacentral:rRNA from 1 species